rnacentral:tRNA from 1 species
CCUUCGAUAGCUCAGUUGGUAGAGCACUGGACUGUCAAUCCAUUGGUCGUUGGUUCGAACCCGACUCGAAGGA